rnacentral:lncRNA from 1 species
CGGGCAGCAGGAGGAGUUGAAUCAUCUGCUAUAGAAGACUUGUUAGCCGGUCUUUUUACACUAGGAGUACUGGAGCUCACAGCCCUGGAAGUCUUCAAACCAGGUGGGUAACGUCCAUCACUUGCAAUUUCUAUUUCGAGGGCACAACAUGUAAAACAUACUAAAUUAUUCAGUUUCACAAGUAAUGAGCAUGGAAAGAUUAAAAGUGUGGUAUUUUAAGAAGCAAUUACACUACCUCAUGUAAAAAAUAAAAUAAAGAAGCAACUAAACUAAGAUAAAACAACAUCAGCAAACUAUAAAAUAGAGACCAGUAGCAAAAUAUCUCAUGCUGACUGCACAAACGGAGAAACAAAGCAAUAUGAAACAAAGUACUUAACUAACAGCCAACUGCUUGCAUGAUAAUCCUUCAUGUAGCACAAGAGAAACCAAAUCAGAAGAUUCAAGGGUUAACAUAUCCUCCCCAGAACAAAAAAAAUAGGAAAAGGGUAAAUUAAAACUUGUAAUAAUCCUGGACAAAAUUAAAACGUAAUAUUCUUGGCUGACGGACGCCAAAAAAACAAAUAAGUUGAUCAAAGGACAAAAAUAAGGAACUAGAAGGUGGAUACAGUUAUAUCAACUACUGGUAUAACCUGGGGAAAAAACGGUAAGAGUGAAAAAAGCCAGUAAAGAUUAAAUACCUUUGGAAGAGGAAUUUGACUGGGGAGGAGGGGAACCAUCAUCAGACAAAUCAGGGAUUCCCUUCCAUGCCUCCAACAUUUGAUUCAUUGUUUCCCUAACUGCCUUUACC